rnacentral:tRNA from 1 species
GUGGCUCAGUGGUAGAGUGCUUGCCUUGCAUGCAUGAAGCCCUAGGUUCGAUUCCUCAGC